rnacentral:tRNA from 1 species
GCGUCUGUAGCUCAGUGGAUAGGGCGUCUGUUUCCUAAGCAGAAAGUCGUAGGUUCGACCCCUACCUGAUGCG